AGUUAAAAAUUUCAUCCAAUUCUAUUGUCAAAAACUGGCAUAGCUAACAGAAAAACUAAAAAGUUAAACGUGGGAUGUCACGUGUACCUUACUCUACAUACAAGGACUUAGUUUUUAACAAUAGAAAUAGAUCCAACUUUUAACA
rfam:Gossypium arboreum cultivar AKA8401 contig_22921_1, whole genome shotgun sequence.